CGUGUAGGCGGUCCGCUAAGUCUGAUGUGAAAGCCCGGGGCUCACCCCCGGAAGGGCAUUGGAAACUGGCGGACUCGAGUCCCGGAGAGGAGGGUGGAAUUCCUGGUGUAGCGGUGAAAUGCGUAGAUAUCAGGAGGAACACCGGUGGCGAAGGCGGCCCUCUGGACGGUGACUGACGCUGAGACGCGAAAGCGUGGGGAGCAAACAGGAUUAGAUACCCUGGUAGUCCACGCUGUAAACGAUGAGCACUAGGUGUCGUGGGUAUUGACCCCCGCGGUGCCGACGCUAACGCAUUAAGUGCUCCGCCUGGGGACUACGGCCGCAAGGUUAAA
rnacentral:rRNA from 1 species